GACAUCACUGAGGUAGAGCGGGUUAAUGAGUCGAGCAGGAGACAGUGCGGUGAGGUGGGACAGCCUCAGAGAGGUGUUCAAGAGCAUCAUUCGCUGUCAGGAUGGAUCUGGAACUCAGGAGUGAGGAAGAUCAGUGACAGCCAGUCUUCAUUCCCGAGACUCAUUGCCUGAGAGCAGCCUCCAGGGCUGGAGACCCACAGGACACACCUCCUACAUAGCUGCAUUCCAUGUGAUAGGAGGGACCUUUAACCAGGCCAGAGACGUAUUGGACACACAUUGUUCCCUGAGUUCUACACAAGUCUGACGAAGUUGAAGGCCGCGGCACUGCUGUGAGUAACUCAUUGUAUGAGGUCUUGGAAGACGUCAUGAAGCACGAGAGCUUAGGAAAGGGUUUGCAGCAAAACGCUGGGAGAAGCCAAAGAGACAAAUGAAGCGGAAGGACCAGGGCAUCAGCGUGCUCACUACCAGCAAAGACGAUGGUAGAAGUUUGUACUCAUGCCUGAGACGCUGCACACACCUGUUGGGCUGGAAGACAUAAAGUGUGGCCUAGAAGCUUGGUGAUCACAACAGUGAGAACGAGGUGGAAGCUGUGUCCCCAUAGGGAAAAGCCCUCUCAGAGCCAAGACAGGGCCUGGCACAGACAGUCACUCCACAGCAAGGUGGUAAAUGAAAGACGAAUGACACCCACCAUUGGUAGACUGCCUGCCGUACAACAGGCACUACGCUGGGUCCUUCCCUGCCUGACCAGGCUUUAUCUCUUAGCUCUGAAAUCCAGGUUUUAUUACACUUUUGCAAAAGAGGAGAUCAAGGGAUAGAAAAGAUACACCAAAGAUCAAAGAGCUAGAAAUCGGGAAAACAAGGAUUUAAGUGGGGAGGCACUACCACAGCACAUUGGUCUGUUAUGAGCAAACGCGCAUUGCACAGGGAUCCGUGAGCUGCUGGAAGAUGCGGCGAGUCCAGCCGUGCCCGGUUCCUUUGCACGUGUGGCGACAGCAACAGAGGUGCAGAGAGCGAAGAGUCUGAGGCAAACGUCAUCUCCAGGAAGGUCAGGCCCAGCAGAGAGAAUGGGAAAAUAUGCUAAGAUUUACAUGCACUCCGACACCGAGGAUGGAUCUGUACAAAAAUAUUACCUACUGCUUUGUUCUGGAUGUGAAUUCAAAAACAAAUGCCCUCAGGAAUUGUUGUAAGAGGCAGAGCACUCUCCCUCCACCUCGGAUCCAGACUCCAAUAGCUUUCUCUCAGGGCUUGGGAUGAUGAAAUAUGCAAGUGUCACCAAAGACUCUGCAGGUCUUCGCAAGACACGGGGAAAUGAGUGAGGAAGCCACGCGCGUGAAGGUAAAAUGGAAGCAGCACACCAGUGAGCAGCACUAAGGGAGAGAAGGUUCAGAAGGAAAAGGCCAGAUUUACAGACUGCAGCAUCAUCCUGGCUCCGUGGAUGUUAUUGCAACAAUCUCCAUAUACAUCUGAGAAAAACCUACUGAGCAUUCAAUUACUUUGCCAGGACCAAUAUUUCAACAAUCUUAGAUUCUUCCACGACGUUGGCAUCAAGGGGGGUAUUCAUAAUAUUAAUUCUAGGGACACCCAUACAGAAAGCAUGUCCUAGGUCCUUCAAGAGUGUCUUAGAGUCUGAUUCCAUUCUCUGGCCUAACAGUCAAAAAAAAAAAAAA